rnacentral:rRNA from 1 species
AGCGAACGCUGGCGGCAGGCCUAACACAUGCAAGUCGAGCGCCCAGCAAUGGGAGCGGCAGACGGGAGAGUAACACGUGGGAACAUGCCCUUCAGUACGGAACAACCAAGGGAAACUUUGGCUAAUACCGUAUACGCCCGUAAGGGGAAAGAUUUAUCGCUGAAGGAUUGGCCCGCGUCUGAUUAGCUAGUUGGUGGGGUAAUGGCCCACCAAGGCGACGAUCAGUAGCUGGUCUGAGAGGAUGAUCAGCCUCACUGGGACUGAGACACGGCCCAGACUCCUACGGGAGGCAGCAGUGGGGAAUAUUGGACAAUGGGCGUAAGCCUGAUCCAGCCAUGCCGCGUGAGUGAUGAAGGCCUUAGGGUUGUAAAGCUCUUUCGUCAGGGAAGAUAAUGACGGUACCUGAAGAAGAAGCCCCGGCUAACUUCGUGCCAGCAGCCGCAGUAACAC